rnacentral:rRNA from 1 species
UACGUAGGGACCAAGCGUUGCUCGGAAUCACUGGGCGUAAAGGGUGCGUAGGCGGGUCUUUUAAGUCAGGGGUGAAAUCCUGGAGCUCAACUCCAGAACUGCCUUUGAUACUGAAGAUCUUGAGUUCGGGAGAGGUGAGUGGAACUGCGAGUGUAGAGGUGAAAUUCGUAGAUAUUCGCAAGAACACCAGUGGCGAAGGCGGCUCACUGGCCCGAUACUGACGCUGAGGCACGAAAGCGUGGGGAGCAAACAGG